UACAGAGGGGGCAAGCGUUGUUCGGAAUUACUGGGCGUAAAGGGCGCGUAGGCGGCCUUCUAAGUCGAACGUGAAAUCCCCGGGCUCAACCCGGGAACUGCGUCCGAGACUGGAAGGCUCGAAUCCGGGAGAGGGAUGUGGAAUUCCGAGGUGUAGCGGUGAAAUGCGUAGAUAUCUGGAGGAACAUCGGUGGCGAAGGCGGCAUCCUGGGACCGGUAGUU
rnacentral:rRNA from 1 species